AUGGCAUUGAGCACUGACCCAGAGUGGGGCUCCCACCAUGGACAGCAGACCUCUGACCUCCUGCCGCUCCCCCACCCCGCAGGUCAGCCCAAGGCCGCGCCCUCGGUCACCCUCUUCCCGCCCUCCUCCGAGGAGCUCAGCGCCAACAAGGCCACAGUGGUGUGUCUCAUCAGUGACUUCUACCCCGGCGCCGUGACGGUGGCCUGGAAGGCGGACGGCGCCCCCGUCACCCAGGGCGUGGAGACCACCAAGCCCUCCAAACAGAGCAACAACAAGUACGCGGCCAGCAGCUACCUGAGGCUCUCCCCCGACGCGUGGAAGUCUCACAGCAGCGUCAGCUGCCAGGUCACGCACGAAGGGAGCACCGUGGAGAAGACGCUGGCCCCCAGGGAGUGCUCUUAGGCCCCGAGCCCCCGCCCCUGGGCGCCUGGAUACACGGGCCUCCGGGGAGGGUCUCCCUACCCCCGCACUCCCCCCAGCCCUGUCCCUGCUCCUCAUCAACUCGCAAUAAAGGGUCCUCCUUGUCAAUCAGGAA